AACGAACGUUGGCGGCGUGGAUUAGGCAUGCAAGUCGAGCGCGAACCUCGCAAGAGGUAAGAGCGGCGAAAGGGAGAGUAACGCGUGGGUAUCUACCCUCGGGACUGGGAUAGCUGCGGGAAACUGCAGGUAAUACCAGAUGACGUCCCCGGACCAAAGGUGUGAUUCCGCCUGAGGAUGAGCCCGCGUCCUAUUAGCUUGUUGGUGGGGUAAUGGCCUACCGAGGCAAUGAUGGGUACUGGGUGUGAGAGCACGACCCAGCUCACUGGGACUGAGACACUGCCCAGACACCUACGGGUGGCUGCAGUCGAGAAUCUUCGGCAAUGGGCGAAAGCCUGACCGAGCGACGCCGCGUGUGGGAUGAAGGCCUUCGGGUUGUAAACCGCUGUCAGAGGGGAGGAAUGGGCGGAGGGUAAUCUCUUCGUUUUGACCUAUCCUCAGAGGAAGUACGGGCUAAGUUCGUGCCAGCCGCCGCGGUAAGAC
rnacentral:rRNA from 1 species